GUUGUUUUUAUUUUUUUUUUAAAUUUGGCAUUUUAAGGGGUGGUAACUCUAAAAAAGUGCAUUUUCUGAAGGAUUCUGUAUGAAAUUUUCCUAUUUUGUAUUUUAGCCGGAAAAAACGUACGGUGACCCUAUUUUUUCUUUUGAUAUUCUCAAAGCAGUGUCUGAAAGCUAUCUUUUCCUGAAGUAUUUAAUAAUUCUAUCAUUUUGUUUAGUUUCUAAUCACAAAAUGGUGUUUUUUCC
rnacentral:lncRNA from 1 species